GCCUUUGGCAUCCCCAACAUCAAUAACAAAGGACCGAAUAAAAAUAGCAUUG
rnacentral:sRNA from 12 species